GGUGGCUCAGUGGUAGAGCGCUUGUCUGGCAUGCAUGGGGCCCUGGGUUCGAUUCCUCAGCACCA
rnacentral:tRNA from 1 species